rnacentral:sRNA from 1 species
UUGAGGCAAAAUAUGUUACUCAUUGCUGCUAGCUAAAAAACACAUUACACCUAGAAGGAAUUAUUUAGUCCUUAUACUGAGAUACUCAAUCUAUAAUAUCAUAGUAUAUUUGUAUAAGAUCUAAAGUACUAGAUAUAAAUUACAUGGGUUUCACACUGCCUCAAAACAAUACGGGAGCAAUUAUCGACUUGGAUUAUAUUUAUUGAUUCAGAGAUUUGUGAUUUCCGUUUCAGAUUUAUUAUGUAAUUUUCUAUACAGGAUAU